GGGUUCGAUUCCGGAGAGGGAGCCUGAGAAACGGCUACCACAUCCAAGGAAGGCAGCAGGCGCGCAAAUUACCCAAUCCCGACACGGGGAGGUAGUGACAAUAAAUAACAAUACGGGGCUCUUUCGGGUCUCGUAAUUGGAAUGAGUACAAUUUAAAUCCCUUAACGAGGAACAAUUGGAGGGCAAGUCUGGUGCCAGCAGCCGCGGUAAUUCCAGCUCCAAUAGCGUAUAUUAAAGUUGUUGCAGUUAAAAAGCUCGUAGUUGAAUUUCGGGAUUGACACAUCGGUCGUGCCUUAAGGGGUAUGAACUGGUGUAGUCAAUUUCUCACCUUCUGGAGAACCGCAAUGCCCUUAAUUGGGUGUCGCGGGGAACCAGGACCUUUACUUUGAAAAAAUUAGAGUGUUUAAAGCAGGCAUUUUGCUUGAAUACAUUAGCAUGGAAUAAUAAAAUAGGACGGCAUGAUUCUAUUUUGUUGGUUUCUAGGAUCACCGUAAUGAUUAAUAGGGAUAGUUGGGGGCAUUAGUAUUCAAUUGUCAGAGGUGAAAUUCUUGGAUUUAUUGAAGACUAACUACUGCGAAAGCAUUUGCCAAGGAUGUUUUCAUUAAUCAAGAACGAAAGUUAGGGGAUCGAAGACGAUCAGAUACCGUCGUAGUCUUAACCAUAAACUAUGCCGACUAGGAAUCAGACGAUGUUAAUUUU
rnacentral:rRNA from 1 species